rnacentral:lncRNA from 1 species
GAAAAUUAAACCACCCCAUAUCAAGCGGAAUUACAUGCGUACACGAUAACCUGAGUGCAUGAGAAAAUAAAGGACCGAAGUGCCCGCUCAACAGAGUAUUCGAGUACAUGAGAACACAACACAAAAGGCAUACACAGAUCUCUUGUAGUACAUUCCCAGGUAGCCCGCGUAUUAAGGACUGAUGGUACAUUAUAUCUCAACAAGCAUUUGAGUAAUCGAGUACAUGAGAACACAACACAAGAGGCAUACAUAGAUCAUUUUUAGUACAUUUCCAGGAAAACCAAGUAUUAAGGAUUGAUGUAUGACAGAAAAGAUCUAUGAUCUUGCCUUCCUUUUGUAGUGACUUGCUAAUCGACCUUCAUCUGCUGGAAUAGAUGACAACCUCCACGGACUCUAUAUAAACUUUUUUUUUUCUGAAGGCGACUCUAUAUAAACUUCAUCGGUUCAAUCCACCUAGUUAAGCACACCAAAUAAAUAUGAGUCUGUUAGAUACAUAUAUUAAACAUCAUAUAUUCAGAAGAGAGGAAAUCAUUAUGUCCAGCUUCGUACGCCAUUUGCCACAACUGACCUAAGAAAGAGACGAACACAAACUUUUUUUUGCUGAAAAGAGCUCAACAACUAUUGUUCGGACACUCCAGUAGGCCAUGACAUAUGUAAAAUACUACUUCCCUGCAUUUCAGAUUGAGAUGCAACAGCAGAACAACGGAGGCCGAGCUUAGCACUAGUCGACGAGCUCCGAUCUGUCCAUCACACCGAGAGCAGAAAUUGUGUUCUACGUCAAAAUCCAAAUAGAUAGUGAACUCCCAUAAAUCAAUGAAGUGCCACAUAUUUGCAAGUGUGUAAUACAUUCCAGUCUUGUUCCAGCAAGCACUUCACAUUCAGAUACUUUAACACGUAGUAUGUGAGAUUAGUUGACAGAAUUUCUGUUUCUUGUUAUGGAAAAUCAACACUGAAUAAAGGCCUCUCCCAACUAACUGAAAUUGGCUCAAAAAAGUGCGAGUACAUACUAAACUGAGAAUUAUUUUUAGCUUGAUCGAAAAGUUGUAAGCAUAUAUGCUGGCAAUAUAGCUAUUAUGUUGCAUUAAUGGAUUUUCUGUCCUGCGCGAUUUCCUUUAGCCCUCUCUAUCUAUGUAUAACAUAGUGUGACGCUAGCAGGUUAGCUAUUGUACUGUUCAGGCAUUUCUUGCUUAAUAUAGCCUUUGCUCAAAAACCGUUUUAAGCUUCCAAGCUACUGCUACUCACAAUCAAAUUGUAUCAUCUACACUAUAUGUCCAUAUGUUUAAAAUUUUAAAUGCAGCCAUUCAUAUCAUUUCCAGAGAUCCAGAAUUUCUAAAUCUUUCUAAAUCUCCUCCCAGGAUACCUUGGUGAAAAGAAACAAAAUUAUACAGUGUUCAACAGCAAUCCAACAGAUGCUCCUAGCACAAAUUAAAGUGAGAGUACUUUUUUUCACUGGAAGAUCUCAAGUAACUAAUUAACUAUAAAUGAAAAUAUUAUGCACAUGAUAUGGACAGUCGUAGUCAAAUUUGAACGAAGGAGUACUUUCUAAGUAAAAUGCUCUAGAAUUAAAUCUGAAAUUGGUAGCAGCUUCAGCAGAUACCAUACCUUAAGACCCGAGAUUUCUUCUCUGGCGUCGGUGGGUGGCCGAGCUAGCCGCACAGGAGUAGGGCGCAACGUGUGGAGAAUGGCGGGUUGGGGUAGGAAGAAGUAAGGGGCGAGGUCAACCUCUGACCGCCGGAGCAGAGUAUCCUGAAGUGCUUGUUCGCACAAGGUCGCGGCUUGGAACAGGGCGAGAUCCGCCAGAGCAGCACCGACGGUGACGAGACGACCAGGAGCUGGAACGGCACCUCUACUGGCCGUACUCGCACAGGUAGGCACCGGAUCUGGACCUCCGCCACGGUCGGCAAGCUGGAGGACGAUGAGCGAGAGGGUUGAUCCAGGAGGCGGCUGGCAGUCAAGCUAGAUUGGGGAAUUUUGGGCUGUGCUGCUGCUAUCGGAUGAAGGAAGAAGCAGAUUCUGAAAGGAAAACGAGUACAAGUGGGAGGUUCUGUGCAAAGAAGCUAGCACGUGUGCUGUCACUUCCAUCCACUACAAUCUGGACCACCCAUCCUGGAACUGAUGGCUCAGAUAAUUUUUUUCUAUUUUUCUACCCGUGGCUGUUUUUCUAUGC